UCCCGUAAUAACUGGGAGCCCCUGUACAGAAUGGCUGAAAGUGUCCAUAAAAAAGGAGAGGCGGAGAAGAGGGUGCACGGGCGGUAUGGCUGCGGAAACCUUGUUUCCAUAGAAGAUCAGGUUGUAAAACGAAGGAUGCAAAGAGAGCAUCCUCUGGGGAAGCUUAAUGGUGUUUCCACCGGUUUCUGUCCCAAAUUACGCAUCCACUUUGUGAUGAUGUUCAUUUUGCUGGGGGCAAAGGCACCUCAAAAGGCAGAGGUGCUGCAUGACAAAGUGUUGGGCUGGAGUACUUUGAGUGGAGUUGGUCUGUUUAGCAGUCUGGCUUUUGGCCCUCAAACUGGAGAAACCUCUGUCUGAGUUCCCGUUGCAGCCUAGACUUGGUGUUUAUGGCGUUGAUCACCCUGCAGCUCGGACAUAGGGAUAUCUUGAGGUUGAUGGAUGCUAAAACCAGAGCCCUUCCACUGUCCUCUGCACCAGGCAUGGAUUAACCCCCUGAGCCGUAUCCAGGGAAGAUGCAGCUAUCGCAUAACCAGCUUCUGGUGGCUGCGUAAAUAAAACAGGACUGCUGGGAUCAUGUCACGCUUGUUUUCUAGGAGAGAAUAAACGUGAUGGAGAUGUUCAGCAGAUGUGUGCUGGAGCCCCACAGGAGCCAGACUUUCAUCUGUUUGUCGUAAGUCCCUUCUUGGCAGCUUCGCCAGCCCAUGCCACCCUUCAGGGGACAGAGGAGCAGUGGGGAUGAGGCCGGGGUUUCUAAUUAAACCCCAUAAAGAUGUCUUGUUGGUUUUUUUUCCUCAUUAGGAUGUGGUGGAGGCUCCUUUGUGAUGCACUGGUGGGGAGAAGGAGGAGGAGGGAGCUGCUGUGUCAUCUUCACGAGGGUGGCAGUGGCCCCACUGGUGUCCUUUCACUCUGAGCACCCACAGGUGUGCAGUGCUUCUGCUUGGGGCGGCUCCUCGGGGGAGUUACACCACCGGCAAACAUGACCACGGCUCUUUGCCUGCCUUCACCUGUGGUCACUGAACUCGCCGCUCAUCUGGGAGCACGCUUACAGUAGGAGCAUCCCGCGGGCCGAUGACUCGUCUGGCCGGACGUGGCCCUGGCAGCCAGCGCAGGGCUGACCCCGCUGCCGCGGCAGAGCCGAUUUCUAGGAAGCACGGCUGCUGGCACACACAGCAGGUCCCUGGUGAAGAUGGUGACUCACCAAGGGAUCUUUUGACCUCUCCACCCAGCAGUGUUGCGAUCUGGCUCUCUUGACGUUUAGUGCUUUUCCUGUCAUUAAAAAGAAAAACCUACUUUAUUUUUUUAACUUUUUUUUUUUUUUCCUCUCACUGAAUUGAGGAUUUCAGUGAACAGUUUGGGGGUAAACAAGCUAAGAUGACACUGUGGAGGAACAGUUGGUCGAGUUUGCAAGAGAUGGAGCCAGAUCUAAAUAUGGCACAGCCUCGCUGGUACAGAGCAGAAGGAAGGCGGCAUAUGUGUCUGAGCAGUUGGAUUGCUGCACGCUCUGUUAGAUUUCCUUAACAUCAAGUGCGUCUCUUCCCUUUUUCUUUCCUUUUUAGCAAAAAAAAAAAUAAUAAAAAGGAGCAGAAACUCACAGAAAAUGUCUUUGGGCAGAAAUAGGGAAAGGCUACAAGGAGGUGAUGGGCCCUCUGUGUCCCCACUGGCUCAGCCGGCAGGUGGAGGCAGCUGUGUCUGGACGAGAUGCUGCUCUGCAAUGAUGAAACCAGAAGGCAGUGGCCACCACCUCCAGUGCAUCUCGCUGCUGGUGCCCACAUCAAAAUUUGGCCUGGCAAAUGCCUUUUCCCAGGUGACCUUCAUGCUGCUGCCAAGUGUCUGGUACCGAUGGAGGGCCUGGCCCGGGCCACGUACCCCGCAGAGUCCAAGACCUGCAAGAAGGAGAAGGUCACUGGUGCUCACGUGGAGAUGCUGCACGCCAUCAGCCUUCCAGCUGGGCCUCUGCACACCAGGAGCAAGAUGCCUUUCCCAGGUGCUCUGGACUGUGUACUGAAACUGAGAGCCUCCUCCAAAGUCCCAGGCCACGCCGUCGACACAGGGAAGCGGCUUGCUUCUAGGAGUUCCUCCUGGGAGGUGUAUCCUCACACCCUACUGGUCGCAUAAGUUUUUGAGCCCCUAUGUCCACUGACAUAAAGCCUGCAGAGAAAUCAGAGUGUCCUUAACCCGCGUUCACCGCUGGAAAAAACUGAGCAAGGAUUUCACUCUCCCUCUGUGGCUGAUGAUGGAGACAGCUGGAGGCCAGGCUGCACUGGGAAAACAACGUGCUGCCAGAUGCAUGCUCCUCGUGUGGCUGCCGGCUCCUCCUGUGGCUCCUGCCUGUCCUGGAGGGCAACCCACAACUCCUGUGCUGUGGGGGAUGAAGCUUUCAUCCUGUGGGAUGCUCUUGCUGGGUUUUCACACAUGCAGGGAGCUAGGGAGAGGAAGCCAAAGGCGAGACUCUUGCGAGCAGCUUCAGUCAGGACUUGAUUCUUAAACCACCCAUUCACAGGGUUAGUUGUGGAGCCUUCUCCAUCCCUGCAGGAUAGGCAGAUUUGACUGUGAAGCUGCAUGUUGGAGUCUUGUGUCCCUACAUUUGGCCAUUUAAACCAAGGCUUCCUCAUGGCUUUCCAGCAAGAUGGGCUGACGUGGCUGAGUGUGAAGGGUUUAACACAGAUACAGUGGGCAGGUGACUUCUCCAUCCAUCACCAGCGAGGGCAGGGCCGUGCACAUGAAGGAUGGGAAGGGACCGGCACUGUGUCCUGGACCUGAAGAAGACAGGAGCUGAGGGUGAAACACCGUGGGGUGGGGACCUGCUCGGUGGUUGCUGCUGCUGAGCAUCUCCCCCUGCAAAUGACUCCCCCCAUCCCAGCACUAACGCAGGGAGCAGCCAGCACUAUCACGGGCUAAACCUAGACUGGACCUUUCUGUAGCUGUUCCAGCUUUGGUCGGCCCAGGGUCCUGCCCAGGAGCGGGGGAGGAUGUCCCCAGCCCCCUGGAAGCACCACAGCACCCUUCCUGCUCUCCCAGGCCGGCCGGCCGGGCAGCCAGCCCAGUAUGUUAUGCAGAAAGUCAGUAAACUGACACACUAAAAAGUCAGUAUUUGCCAGUGAAUAACAUAAUGGUUUUUCUUUCGGUUUAAUUGCCUCAGAGUAAGUUUUCUAAUCUGCAUUUAAAUCAGAGACCCCAAAAUCCUCAGCGGAGGAGAAAGAGCUCCAGAGAAAGAAGGAAACAAGGGCAGGUCCCGGAGCACCAGUUAGGCUGCCUGGUGUGUUGCAGCGAUGCCGUCUGCCUGGAAGGAGCACCCCAGCUUGCUUUCAGCUACUUCUUCUGCCCUGUGAAGACUUGUGUGGAAAUGACCAAGGACCAAAGCACCCAGCCUGCUGCUGGCAGGGUAAGAGGCUGCUGGCAGGGCGUUGCUUGAGCGAAGAGGCUGAGGACGGUGCCCGACUUCCUGCACUCGCAUCCUGGGAAAGCAGGUGGAAAAUGAUCCUGGUUGGGUCACGCAUUCCUGAGCGAGUCCUUAAUGCCAAGCGUGCGUCUCACCGCUGAAAUCGCAGCGUGCCCGUUCCUCGGCAUGCGUGCGAGCGAGCGAGCGAGCCAGGCACACCAGCAGCAUGGAUUGUUCUUCUGCACCCAUUGUUAUGGAAAUCGCCUUAGAGACAGUCGCUCCAGCGUACAUUUUUAGAAGCGUGAGUGAGCUGCGCAGCAGGAAAACCGCUGCGAGGGGAGGGAAACCACCCGCCGGGCUCCCAGCAAUACCCCUUCCUCCGGCGGCGUGGUGGGGCCUUGCCGGUUCUCUUGGUGGGGAUGGGAUUUAGGGUGUUCCUUUGCCGGGUAAGGCUGGGAGAAGGAGCCUCAGGAGGAGCAGCCCCUUCUGCGUCAGUCUCCAAGGAAACCCUUGGGGCUGCGUGGCUCAGCCUGGAGUUUGGGCAGUGGCUCACGUGUCCCAGACUUGUGCCUGAAUCACUCAUCCACACUUCCAUCUACAGUUUGCUAGUGCAAACAGCCCCAUUUUAGGCAAAUUGUGGGGUUUUCCCACAUCCCUAGAUGCCACUUUAUCUCAAAGAUUCUCACGGUUGGAUUGGCGUGCAGGAGAAGUGAUGUCCUCCCAUGAGCUCGAGAGAAACCAGCCCUAUCUCUGUUUCGAAUGCACAUUCCUCGCCGCUGAGUCUGAAAGGAGAAGCCUUUUAACGCUCCCACACCUCCCAGCUUUUGAGAGCAAGCCUGGGAGCCGCGGUGGUUACGGGGAAGCUUGGGCAGCGGGUGCUUCCAGGUCUGCUGCCACCAGCCUGGUUGCAGUGCCCGAGCCAGAGCGGGUCACCCCGCGCUGCCAGGGAAGAGGGGCUGCCUGGUGGCAGGCCGGAGGAGCAGAGGACACCAAGCAGGUCCCUACCCCAGAGGUUUCCAAAACGCCCCGGGUCAGGGCUGGCCAGCCACACGGGCGGAUUCACUGCUCACCCCCCAUUCGCACAGAGACGCCCGUCCCUUUCAUCCCAGUUUUGACUGAAAAAUUCAGCAAUCCCGGUCUCGAUCAGUUAAAAAGAUGGGCAAGGUUUGCUCCUCUCGGGCUUUGCCUGCACUCGUUGUGGCUGUCUCCCGCGGAGCAGGACCCGACCCCCAGCCUGUGCCCAGGAGCUUCGUGCGGCCUCAGCUGAUGGAAGGGGAAAAGCGCAGAUCCAGUGACCUUUGUUUGCACAACCACUGCCCACAGCCCCUGCCUGACAUUUGAGAAGCGACCGUAAGUGCCGGGGGGGUGCAUGAUGAUGGGGGUGCUGGGCAAAGCAGACGAGCCUCAUCCCUGCUGGCGGAGUACCAGGCUGAGCCGUGGCCUGUCCUUUCUCUCUCUGGAAGUCCUAGUUGACUUGCCAGGAACCAAGGACAAGAAACCUGCCUCCAGCUCCUCGCUGGCCAGGCAGAGAGUUUGGCCACAGUUUGUCUAUUCCUGAGACUGUUUUGCUGCCCACAGCAGCGAUGGAGCCGGAGCAGCGAGGAGCGUUUGGCUCUGUGGGACGGUGUG